ACAAGGCAAAAAGGAAGAACUAUGCCGUUUAUUAGCUAAGGACAUAAAGUCAUGGUUUGAGGUUACAUAGAAGUAUGUUUUGAUGACCCAUCCCAUGCCAAUACUUACAGCUCCAUAAGUCUUAAUCAUGUAGGAUGAUGGAAACAACGGACAACAAUUAGUGGGACAGAAAAUAAGAUUAUGGUCGCCGCUUCAUAAUUGGGAUGCUAAACAUGAACCAGUUGUUGAUUUGGGGCGAUUUGUUAGGGCUGUUGAUUACCAAUGAGAUGGUUCACACUUCGCCACUGCUGGUGCUCAACUAGACAUUUGAGACCCAAUAGGUCCCAGCCAGUAAACAGGUUUGAGUGGGAUAAAGACAUAGUUAUAUUUUCUGAAGAACCAAAUGUUUUGGCAACAUCAAGAAGGUAGGUAUUUUUAGAUGAAUGAUUUAAAAUAUGUAUUGAUUGAACCAUAUAUAGUCUUAUAAAUUAUGUUGAUCAAAUAGAAUUGUUGGUUCAUUA